rnacentral:tRNA from 1 species
GCACCCGUAGCUCAACUGGAUAGAGCACCUGACUACGGAUCAGGAGGUUAGGAGUUCGAACCUCUUCGGGUGCACCA